rnacentral:rRNA from 1 species
UACAUAAUCUGUUCCAUGAACAAAGGUCUGGUCCUGGCCUUAUUAUCAAUUAUAGCUGAACUUACACAUGCAAGUCUCCCCGCCCCAGUGAAAACGCCCUCUUUCUCCUCAUAAAGAAAAAGAGGAGCCGGUAUCAGGCUCAAUAUGCCCAUGACACCUAGCCCCGCCACACCCCCAAGGGUAUUCAGCAGUGAUCAACAUUGUAAACUAGCGUAAGCUAAAUUCAGUUACUAGCUAAAAAAACCGGUCAAUCUCGUGCCAGCCACCGCGGUUAUACGGGCAGGUUUAAAUUGAUAACAUCGGCACAAAGCGUGGUUAGAUUCUUACCUUAAUAAAGCAAAAACUAAGCCUGGCUGUGAUAUGCUUUCGCUUUUAAUAACCUCAAUCACGAAAGUAGCUUUACUCUUAUUGAACCCACGAUCGCUAGGGCACAAACUGGGAUUAGAUACCCCACUAUGCCUAGCCCUAAACUUUGAUUACCUCCGCCCGGGAACUACGAGCGUCAGCUUAAAACCCAAAAGACUUGGCGGUGCCCUAUACCACCUAGAGGAGCCUGUUCUUAAAUCGAUAAA